rnacentral:rRNA from 1 species
ACGUGAAACCUUGUGGGAAGCAGGGAGGACCACCUCCCAAGGCUAAAUACUACCUGAUGACCGAUAGUGAAGCAGUACCGUGAGGGAAAGGUGAAAAGAACCCCGGGAGGGGAGUGAAAUAGAACCUGAAACCGUGUGCCUACAACCGCUCAGAGCCCCUUAUGAGGGUGAUGAGGUGCUUUUUGUAGAACGAGCCAACGAGUUACGGUAUGUAGCAAGGUUAAGUACUUAAGGUACGGAGCCGAAGGGAAACCGAGUCUGAAUAGGGCGACUAGUUGCAUGCCGUAGACCCGAAACCGGGUGACCUAUCCAUGGCCAGGUUGAAGCGAGGGUAAAACCUCGUGGAGGACCGAACCACGUUGCUGUUGAAAAAGCAUGGGAUGAGCUGUGGAUAGCGGAGAAAUUCCAAUCGAACCCGGAGAUAGCUGGUUCUCUCCGAAAUAGCUUUAGGGCUAGCGUCGAGUAUGAGUAGUGGAGGUAGAGCACUGAAUGGGCUAGGGGGCAUAGCGCUUACCGAACCUUAUCAAACUCCGAAUGCCACAUACUUUGAGCUCGGCAGUCAGACUACGAAUGAUAAGAUCCGUGGUCAAAAGGGAAACAGCCCAGAUCGUCAGCUAAGGUCCCAAAGUGUAAGUUAAGUGGGAAAGGAUGUGAGAUUUCUAAGACAACUAGGAUGUUGGCUUAGAAGCAGCCAUUCAUUAAAAGAGUGCGUAAUAGCUCACUAGUCGAGAGAUCUUGCGCCGAAAAUGUAACGGGGCUAAACUUACCACCGAAGCUACGGGCUUGAACUUAGUUCAAGC